UGCAAUUAUAGAUCUUGAACGAGGAAUUCCUAGUAAGUGCAAGUCAUCAUCUUGCAUUGAUUAUGUCCCUGCCCUUUGUACACACCGCCCGUCGCUCCUACCGAUACCGGGUGAUCCGGUGAACCUUUUGGACCGUUUUACGGAAAGAUAAGUAAACCUAAUCACCUAGAGGAAGGAGAAGUCGUAACAAGGUUUCCGUAGGUGAACCUGCGGAAA
rnacentral:rRNA from 1 species